rnacentral:rRNA from 1 species
UACGUAGGGUGCAAGCGUUGUCCGGAAUUAUUGGGCGUAAAGAGCUCGUAGGCGGUUUGUCGCGUCUGCUGUGAAAGUUCGGGGCUCAACCCCGGAACUGCAGUGGGUACGGGCAGACUAGAGUGCGGUAGGGGAGACUGGAAUUCCUGGUGUAGCGGUGGAAUGCGCAGAUAUCAGGAGGAACACCAGUGGCGAAGGCGGGUCUCUGGGCCGCAACUGACGCUGAGGAGCGAAAGCAUGGGGAGCGAACAGG